CGGGGUGCCGGGGAGGAGCCGCGGAGGCCUCAGGCGCAGCCUCGCACGAAGCCCCUGCGGACCUCAGUCAGAACAGCCCUCCCGGGGCUCGGGCGCGUGACAGAGUCUAAGUAUCUGGUUCUGCUCAUUGGAAGAAUGCACCAGGCCAGCAGGCAGAGGAGGCACCCACCUGGUGUUGAGCCCCCUUUUUCCAGGAACAAUCAAUACUGAUCUUCACUUAUGGACGUAGUGUGUGCAUUUAUGUGCCAACAUUGCAUAGGCGGUGAUUAAUCCAAAAAACUCUCACAAAACCAGAGCCAGUGAGUUCUGCAAAACAUGAGAAUGUAUUAUUUUAAAUGCUUUUAUCUUGUGAAAUGUAAUAGAUCCACAGAAAAACUCUAUAAUGUAACAGCUUGAUGACUUAUAAAUGAGCAUCUAUAUACUUGCCACCCAGUCAAGGAACAACAUUGCAGGCACCUCCGCAAUCACUGCCCUCCCUCCCAGGAAGGUUCCACUGGCUUCAUUUGAAACCACUUUUCUUGUGUUUAUUUACACUUUUAUCACCUACACGUGUACCUCCACACAUUUUAGUUUGGCUAUGUGUAUUAUUUGGACUUCAUAUAAGUGGAAUUAUAGAACAUGAUUCUGUACGUCAGUUUUUUUUCAUCCAAGGAGAUGCCUCUAAAUUUUAGCCCUGUUGUUUUCUGUGUCUAUAGUUCACUCACUUUCAUGGCUGGAUCCUAAGCCAUCCUAAGAACAUGCCACAGUUUAUUUUUCCAUUUUACUGAUGAUUUGAUUUGACCGCUGAUAGUUUGGGGAUAUCAUGAAUAAAGCUGUUGUGAACUUC